rnacentral:rRNA from 1 species
AUUGAACGCUGGCGGCAUGCCUUACACAUGCAAGUCGAACGGCAGCACGGGAGCAAUCCUGGUGGCGAGUGGCGAACGGGUGAGUAAUAUAUCGGAACGUGCCCAGUCGUGGGGGAUAACGUAGCGAAAGCUACGCUAAUACCGCAUACGAUCUACGGAUGAAAGCGGGGGAUCGCAAGACCUCGCGCGAUUGGAGCGGCCGAUAUCAGAUUAGCAGUUGGUGGGGUAAAGACCCACCAAGGCGACGAUCUGUAGCUGGUCUGAGAGGACGACCAGCCACACUGGAACUGAGACACGGUCCAGACUCCUACGGGAGGCAGCAGUGGGGAAUUUUGGACAAUGGGCGAAAGCCUGAUCCA